UACGGAGGGUGCAAGCGUUGCUCGGAAUUAUUGGGCGUAAAGGUAGGUAGGUGGUCUCAUUUGUCUGGGGUGAAAGCCUUGAGCUUAACUCAAGAAGUGCCCCAGAAACGGUGAGACUAGAGUCCUGGAGAGGGUCGUGGAAUUCCCGGUGUAGCGGUGAAAUGCGUAGAGAUCGGGAGGAACACCAGAGGCGAAGGCGGCGACCUGGACAGGUACUGACACUCAACUACGAAAGCGUGGGGAGCAAACAGG
rnacentral:rRNA from 1 species